rnacentral:lncRNA from 1 species
AUGUAUCGGGGUAGAAAACAGGUGCGGACCCUGGCGGAGGCAGGGAAAACGGCAAGUACGGUCUCGGGUACCGGAAGCUUGUCUAGGGCGGGACUUCCGGCUUUCUGGGGAACGGAGGCCGAACGGGGCCUUAAGCUGAAUAGCGAACCGUUUUUGGGCGCGAGAGGCGUGGCAAAGCAUAAGGGGGCGUGUCCAAAAUGGCUGCGUUCCAGAACCUCGAUUCCCGAGAACAAGCGACAGUGUUCCGGCUCGGAAGUCUUACUGGAAAAUAGAAAACAGCCAGAAACCUCUGGUGAGAAAAGAAGCCCUGCACAUCUCAAAGCAGUUCCUUCACAGCCGGAAUGGGAAUCCACAGUGAGCCAAUGUUCACCCUCUCUUCUGGGACCUGGUACCUUACAGGAGGCUCCUGAGAAGAGAUUUCGUACUGCAAGAUGGACUUCAAACUCUGUUGAUCUUUGCAUCACAGUACCUAACAGAGGUGCUGGAGCCAAGGAAAAGACAAGAAAUACUAAGAUGAAAAUGAGUUCUGACGGGUUCCCAUCUCUGAUCCUGACUUAGGUGCAUCAUCAGGUUCCUGCAAGUGACUUUGCACCUGAUGAAGAUUUGAAGAUAAAGAUGAUGGUGAUGAAGCGCCUCAGGGUCACUCUUCAAGCAGCUCCCUGCAAGUCUCCCUGGAAAGGGUUCCUGGCUCCCAGGUCAAUGAACCAAGUCCCCACAGUCUCUAGUCCUCCACAUAAGAACUCGGAGCCAAGCCU